GUCGACAGCCUUCUCGUGGUAUUUUGUUAUGCCAUUUCUGACGUCAUGAGAUCACAGGACAAGGGUUCAGUCCAAUGCCUCUCAUUUAGAAAUAUUGCGGACCUUAGGCACAAGAGCAGUUCUCACUGCCAUCUACCAAUGGAAUUCCCCUCAUAGAUAAUCAUUGAAAGCUAUGAUUCUCUAAGAAGCCAUGAAUGACAAUGCGCAUGCGUAGGCGACGACGUCGUAGUAGGAAUGGGUAUGAGAGACUGAUAGUAACAGUCACAGCUCUCCCAUUCAGAGUGCUUGGCGGCAUGGCUUGAAGCCAUGCUUUCAAGCCCUUUAAACAAUAGAUAUACAUGGUGUUCGACUACAGGAGACUUGGGGACAAAUUAAGGAAUUAUAACAAUGUUGUUAAGAGGGAGUUAACCAUUUAUAAAAUGUAUUACUUGAUGCUGUAAAGAUGCAUGCUAAUACACUGCUUACCCAAAUCAAACACCACAUUUUUAAAACAAAUAGUUUUUGUAAACAAAUUGUAGCGAUUUAGGUACGUGAUGGUUGAGCCUCAAACACAUAAUGUUUGUAUACUGCACAUGUCAUGAUGCUCAGGGUAAGAAAUAGCGCUUACAAACAUCUGUGAUGCCACAGUUAUGUAAGGAAUAAUUGACGACAGGCCAUUGAAUUAUUAGAAAAAUAAUGCACACCCGAGGUGGUAAUGCAGUGUGCAUUGUUUUUUUCUAAUAAUUCAACGACCUGGAGUCAAUUAUCCCGCUUAUACAACAGUUAACACACCUCGAAACAUUGUUCAUAUGAUGUAUUUCAAGACGUUUGUCAAGUGCUUGUCAUUAAAACACUCUUGUAUGUAGGACUAAUUUCUUACGCAACUGUAAUGCGGUCAAGACCUGUCUGGAACUACUUUAGCCGUAAGUCUCCCUGAAAAUAAUGCACACCUUAGAACGUUCAUCAACCAAUCAGAUUGAAGCAUUCAACGGCCCUGUAGUAUAAGUGUGAUUAAUAUCUGUAAUGUUAAGUCAGUCAGUGGUUAACCAACCUAAAUUGCAGAGUCUC